rnacentral:rRNA from 1 species
UACGGGGGGAGCAAGCGUUGUUCGGAAUUACUGGGCGUAAAGGGCUCGUAGGCGGCCAACUAAGUCAAACGUGAAAUCCCUCGGCUUAACCGGGGAACUGCGUCUGAUACUGGAUGGCUUGAGUUCGGGAGAGGGAUGCGGAAUUCCAGGUGUAGCGGUGAAAUGCGUAGAUAUCUGGAGGAACACCGGUGGCGAAGGCGGCAUCCUGGGACCG